AUUGAACGCUGGCGGCAGGCCUAACACAUGCAAGUCGAGCGGAUGAGGGGAGCUUGCUCCUCGAUUCAGCGGCGGACGGGUGAGUAAUGCCUAGGAAUCUGCCUAGUAGUGGGGGACAACGUUUCGAAAGGAACGCUAAUACCGCAUACGUCCUACGGGAGAAAGUGGGGAUCUUCGGACCUCACGCUAUUAGAUGAGCCUAGGUCGGAUUAGCUAGGUGGUAGGGUAAAGGCCUACCAAGGCGACGAUCCGUAACUGGUCUGAGAGGAUGAUCAGUCACACUGAAACUGAGACACGGUCCAGACUCCUACGGGAGGCAGCUGUGAGGAAUAUUGGACAAUGGGCGAAAGCCUGAUCCAGCCAUGCCGCGUGUGUGAAGAAGGCCUUCGGGUCGUAAAGCACUUUAAGUUGGGAGGAAGGGCUCAUAGCGAAUACCUGUGAGUUUUGACGUUACCAACAGAAUAAGCACCGGCUAACUUCGUGCCAGCCGCCGCAGUAAAAC
rnacentral:rRNA from 1 species